rfam:Salmo salar isolate Sally breed double haploid chromosome ssa01, whole genome shotgun sequence.
UGCAUUCACUACUGUAAAUCGCUCUGGAUAAGAGUGUCUGGUAAAUGACUAAAA